GUAAGCUACUAAGAGCGAAUGGUGGAUGCCUUGACUGGUAAAGGCGAUGAAGGACGUACUAGACUGCGAUAAGCUACGGGGAGCUGUCAAGAAGCUUUGAUCCGUAGAUUUCCGAAUGGGGCAACCCAAUGUAUAGAGAUAUACAUUACCUAUAUAGGAGCGAACGAGGGGAAUUGAAACAUCUUAGUACCCUCAGGAAAAGAAAUCAAUAGAGAUUGCGUCAGUAGCGGCGAGCGAAAGCGCAAGAGGGCAAACCCAGUGCUUGCACUGGGGGUUGUAGGACUGCAAUGUGCAAGAGGUGAGUUUAGCAGAACAUUCUGGAAAGUAUAGCCAUAGAGGGUGAUAGUCCCGUAUGCGAAAAACAAACCUUAGCUAGCAGUAUCCUGAGUAGGGCGGGACACGAGAAAUCCUGUCUGAAGCUGGGUCGACCACGAUCCAACCCUAAAUACUAAUACCAGAUCGAUAGUGCACAAGUACCGUGAGGGAAAGGUGAAAAGAACUGAGGUGAUCAGAGUGAAAUAGAACCUGAAACCAUUUGCUUACAAUCAUUCAGAGCACUAUGUAGCAAUACAGUGUGAUGGACUGCCUUUUGCAUAAUGAGCCUGCGAGUUGUGGUGUCUGGCAAGGUUAAGCAAACGCGAAGCCGUAGCGAAAGCGAGUCUGAAUAGGGCGCUUAGUCAGAUGCUGCAGACCCGAAACGAAGUGAUCUAUCCAUGAGCAAGUUGAAGCUAGUGUAAGAACUAGUGGAGGACUGAACCCAUAGGCGUUGAAAAGCCCCGGGAUGACUUGUGGAUAGGGGUGAAAGGCCAAUCAAACUUCGUGAUAGCUGGUUCUCUCCGAAAUAUAUUUAGGUAUAGCGUUGUGUCGUAAUAUAAGGGGGUAGAGCACUGAAUGGGCUAGGGCAUACACCAAUGUACCAAACCCUAUCAAACUCCGAAUACCUUAUAUGUAAUCACAGCAGUCAGGCGGCGAGUGAUAAAAUCCGUCGUCAAGAGGGAAACAACCCAGACUACCAGCUAAGGUCCCUAAAUCUUACUUAAGUGGAAAACGAUGUGAAGUUACUUAAACAACCAGGAGGUUGGCUUAGAAGCAGCCAUCCUUUAAAGAAAGCGUAAUAGCUCACUGGUCUAGUGAUUUUGCGCGGAAAAUAUAACGGGGCUAAAGUAAGUACCGAAGCUGUAGACUUGACUUUGUCAAGUGGUAGGAGAGCGUUCUAUUUGCGCCGAAGGUAUACCGGUAAGGAGUGCUGGAGCGAAUAGAAGUGAGCAUGCAGGCAUGAGUAGCGAUAAUUAAUGUGAGAAUCAUUAACGCCGUAAACCCAAGGUUUCCUACGCGAUGCUCGUCAUCGUAGGGUUAGUCGGGUCCUAAGUCGAGUCCGAAAGGGGUAGACGAUGGCAAAUUGGUUAAUAUUCCAAUACCAACAUUAGUGUGCGAUGGAAGGACGCUUAGGGCUAAGGGGGCUAGCGGAUGGAAGUGCUAGUCUAAGGUCGUAGGUGCUUAUACAGGCAAAUCCGUAUAAGAAUACACCGAGAACUGAAAGGCUUUUUGAAGUCUUCGGAUGGAUAGAAGAACCCCUGAUGCCGUCGAGCCAAGAAAAGUUUCUAAGUUUAGCUAAUGUUGCCCGUACCGUAAACCGACACAGGUGGGUGGGAUGAGUAUUCUAAGGCGCGUGGAAGAACUCUCUUUAAGGAACUCUGCAAAAUAGCACCGUAUCUUCGGUAUAAGGUGUGGUUCGCUUCGUAUUAGGAUUUACUCCGAAAGCGAAGAAACUUACAACAAAGAGUCCCUCCCGACUGUUUACCAAAAACACAGCACUCUGCUAACUCGUAAGAGGAUGUAUAGGGUGUGACGCCUGCCCGGUGCUCGAAGGUUAAUUGAUGGGGUUAGCAUUAGCGAAGCUCUUGAUCGAAGCCCGAGUAAACGGCGGCCGUAACUAUAACGGUCCUAAGGUAGCGAAAUUCCUUGUCGGUUAAAUACCGACCUGCAUGAAUGGCGUAACGAGAUGGGAGCUGUCUCAAAGAGGGAUCCAGUGAAAUUGUAGUGGAGGUGAAAAUUCCUCCUACCCGCGGCAAGACGGAAAGACCCCGUGGACCUUUACUACAGCUUGACACUGCUAUUUGGAUAAGAAUGUGCAGGAUAGGUGGGAGGCUUUGAGUAUAUGACGCCAGUUGUAUAUGAGCCAUUGUUGAGAUACCACUCUUUCUUAUUUGGGUAGCUAACCAGCUUGAGUUAUCCUCAAGUGGGACAAUGUCUGGUGGGUAGUUUGACUGGGGCGGUCGCCUCCCAAAUAAUAACGGAGGCUUACAAAGGUUGGCUCAGAACGGUUGGAAAUCGUUCGUAGAGUAUAAAGGUAUAAGCCAGCUUAACUGCAAGACAUACAAGUCAAGCAGAGACGAAAGUCGGUCUUAGUGAUCCGGUGGUUCUGUGUGGAAGGGCCAUCGCUCAAAGGAUAAAAGGUACCCCGGGGAUAACAGGCUGAUCUCCCCCAAGAGCUCACAUCGACGGGGAGGUUUGGCACCUCGAUGUCGGCUCAUCGCAUCCUGGGGCUGGAGCAGGUCCCAAGGGUAUGGCUGUUCGCCAUUUAAAGCGGUACGCGAGCUGGGUUCAGAACGUCGUGAGACAGUUCGGUCCCUAUCUGCCGUGGGCGUAAGAAGAUUGAAGAGAUUUGACCCUAGUACGAGAGGACCGGGUUGAACAAACCACUGGUGUAGCUGUUGUUCUGCCAAGAGCAUCGCAGCGUAGCUAAGUUUGGAAAGGAUAAACGCUGAAAGCAUCUAAGCGUGAAGCCAACUCUAAGAUGAAUCUUCUCUAAGCUCUCUAGAAGACUACUAGUUUGAUAGGCUGGGUGUGUAAUGGAUGAAAGUCCUUUAGCUGACCAGUACUAAUAGAGCGUUUGGCUUAUCUUUA
rnacentral:rRNA from 1 species